rnacentral:rRNA from 1 species
UACGGAGGAUCCAAGCGUUAUCCGGAAUCAUUGGGUUUAAAGGGUCCGUAGGCGGCCCUGUAAGUCAGUGGUGAAAUCUCCCGGCUCAACCGGGAAAUUGCCAUUGAUACUGCAGGGCUUGAAUUACUGUGAAGUAACUAGAAUAUGUAGUGUAGCGGUGAAAUGCUUAGAGAUUACAUGGAAUACCAAUUGCGAAGGCAGGUUACUAACAGUGGAUUGACGCUGAUGGACGAAAGCGUGGGUAGCGAACAGG